CAAACCAAAGCUGGCGACCGGCGCACGGGUGAGUAACACGUAUCCAACCUGCCUCAUACUCGGGGAUAGCCUUUCGAAAGAAAGAUUAAUACCCGAUGGCAUAAUAGAACCGCAUGGUUUGAUUAUUAAAGAAUUUCAGUUAUCGAUGGGGAUGCGUUCCAUUAGGCAGUUGGUGGGGUAACGGCCCACCUAGUCUUCGAUGGAUAGGGGUUCUGAGAGGAAGGUCCCCCCCAUUGGAACUGAGACACGGUCCAAACUCCUACGGGAGGCAGCAUG
rnacentral:rRNA from 1 species